UGCUAUGAAGCGUAGUUUGGGUCGGACCUCCGCUGGCUUUUUCCACGGUGAUACUCCAAAGCAAGUGGUUAUCACCGGGUGAAAACUGGUAGAGGUCCGAUCCACUCGGACCACCAUCAUUCC
rnacentral:pre_miRNA from 14 species